CUAUAUUUUAUAUGGGACGUUGAGCACGAUGCCAUCAUAAAGAAGAUAUACGACCAUCGAAUGGGUUGGCGGCUGUAGAAGAUGCUGGAGGAUGUUCAUGAGGGGCGGGACCACCUCGCGACCUGGCUCUGCCCAGAAAUAAAGAAGGCUCUGUUAGUUACGUUCACUGGGAGACCGAUGAGGGGUUCAGGCAUCAGCGUCUCACAAACAGAGCUAACAGGGCAUCGGCCAGGUCUUCAAGUAUACCGGUGGCUCAGCGACCAUCAUGAAGACUAAGGCCAGGCUGUCAAAGUCGUUGGAUCGCGAGGCGACAUUGGCGGAGACGUUCAAGUACACCCACACGUUGAAGGAAAACAAAGCGAGAUUUGCUGAUCAGCGGUCUCAGGAUCAUUAUGAGUCCUACACGCAGAGACUAGAGGCUGCAACUCAGCAAUCAUAGAAAAGUAGGGAGGACGUCGAUAGCUCUGCUGCUUUAGUCGUUGAUCCUGAUGCAGUUUGGCACGAGACCGCCUCAGCGCUGUACAAGAACCACAUAUACGGGCUAAGGUCGUUCUUUGCUAGCAGCCUUUGCACCUGCACGUUGAGG